rnacentral:rRNA from 1 species
UACGUAGGGAGCAAGCGUUGUCCGGAAUCAUUGGGCGUAAAGCGCGCGUAGGUGGCUUCGUAAGUCCGUUGUGAAAGUCAAAGGCUCGACCUUUGAAAGCCGAUGGAUACUGCGGAGCUAGAGUACGGAAGAGGCGAGUGGAAUUCCUGGUGUAGCGGUGGAAUGCGCAGAUAUCAGGAGGAACACCAGUGGCGAAGGCGGCGACCUGGGCCAAUACUGACGCUGAGGUGCGAAAGCGUGGGGAGCAAACAGG